GUUUGAUUCUGGCUCAGGAUGAACGCUGGCGGCGUGCUUAACACAUGCAAGUCGAACGGGCUCAUAUUGAAACCUAGUGAUGUAUGAGUUAGUGGCGGACGGGUGAGUAACGCGUGGAGAACCUGCCGUAUACUGGGGGAUAACACUUAGAAAUAGGUGCUAAUACCGCAUAAGCGCACAGCUUCGCAUGAAGCAGUGUGAAAAACUCCGGUGGUAUACGAUGGAUCCGCGUCUGAUUAGCUGGUUGGCGGGGUAACAGCCCACCAAGGCGACGAUCAGUAGCCGGCCUGAGAGGGUGAACGGCCACAUUGGGACUGAGACACGGCCCAAACUCCUACGGGAGGCAGCAGUGGGGAAUAUUGCACAAUGGGGGAAACCCUGAUGCAGCGACGCCGCGUGAGUGAAGAAGUAUUUCGGUAUGUAAAGCUCUAUCAGCAGGGAAGAAAAUGACGGUACCUGACUAAGAAGCCCCGGCUAACUACGUGCCAGCAGCCGCGGUAAUACGUAGGGGGCAAGCGUUAUCCGGAUUUACUGGGUGUAAAGGGAGCGUAGACGGCAGCGCAAGUCUGAAGUGAAAUCCCAUGGCUUAACCAUGGAACUGCUUUGGAAACUGUGC
rnacentral:rRNA from 1 species